UACGUAGGGUGCAAGCGUUGUCCGGAAUUAUUGGGCGUAAAGAGCUCGUAGGCGGUCUGUCGCGUCGGCUGUGAAAUCCCGAGGCUCAACCUCGGGUCUGCAGUCGAUACGGGCAAACUAGAGUAUUGCAGGGGAGACUGGAAUUCCUGGUGUAGCGGUGAAAAGCGCAGAUAUCAGGAGGAACACCAAUGGCGAAGGCAGCACUCUGGGACGUGACUGACGCUGAGGCACGAAAGCGUGGGUAGCAAACAGG
rnacentral:rRNA from 1 species